GGCAUAUAGCUCAAUGGUAGAGUGCUUGCCUAGCAUGCAUGAGCCAUAAGGUUCAAUUCCCAGUACUGCCA
rnacentral:tRNA from 1 species